CCUACGGGUGGCAGCAGUCGAGAAUCAUUCACAAUGGGGGAAACCCUGAUGGGGCGACGCCGCGUGGGGGAAUGAAGGUCUGCGGAUUGUAAACCCCUGUCAUGUGGGAGCAAAUUAAAAAGAUAGUACCACAAGAGGAAGAGACGGCUAACUCUGUGCCAGCAGCCGCGGUAAGACAGAGGUCUCAAGCGUUGUUCGGAACCACUGGGCGUAAAGCGUGCGUAGGCUGUUUCGUAAGUCGUGUGUGAAGGGCGCGCGCUCAACCCGCGGACGGCACCUGAUACUGCGAGACUAGAGUAAUGGCGGGGGAACCGGCAUUCUCGGUGUAGCCGU
rnacentral:rRNA from 1 species